AAACCCUUCUACAAAUAUUGAAGACGAAAGUGACGAAGCAUAUGAAGGCGCUUCUUUCAUCCCCUAAGAUGUCACUUGUUGAUAAAGAUUGUGACAAUUAUGGAUAUUGGAGGAAGUUGCAGUUUGCAGAUCAGAGGAAUUGUUAAAAAUGAACGUAGGCAACAUAGAAGAUGGAGAAUCGAUGCUGGUAGUUAGAAUUCUAGAUACAAAAACUAAAAGUCAAGAGUUUUUACCAUUGUUGAGGCGGAGAAGAACUCAGUUAUUUGGCAUUAUAUAGGAAGAUCUGGAUGUACCACUAAGGCCCUUUAUAAAUUGUGCUUUUCAUAUUACCUGUUCUCAAAAUAAAGAAAAUGAAUAGGUA